rnacentral:rRNA from 1 species
AAAGCGCACGCAGGCGGUCUGUCAAGUCGGAUGUGAAAUCCCCGGGCUCAACCUGGGAACUGCAUUCGAAACUGGCAGGCUAGAGUCUUGUAGAGGGGGGUAGAAUUCCAGGUGUAGCGGUGAAAUGCGUAGAGAUCUGGAGGAAUACCGGUGGCGAAGGCGGCCCCCUGGACAAAGACUGACGCUCAGGUGCGAAAGCGUGGGGAGCAAACAGGAUUAGAUACCCUGGUAGUCCACGCCGUAAACGAUGUCGAUUUGGAGGUUGUGCCCUUGAGGCGUGCUUCCGGAGCUAACGCGUUAAAUCGACCGCCUGGGGAGUACGGCCGCAAGGUUAAAACUCAAAUGAAUUGACGGGGGCCCGCACAAGCGGUGGAGCAUGUGGUUUAAUUCGAUGCAACGCGAAGAA